CCGGGGGCAUUUGGAGAAGUACGAACCGGAGCAGCGAGUCCUCUUUUCUCUCUGCGACCGAGCGGCACCGCAGCAGCCCCGAGCGGCAAGCUAGCGACCACACACCGCGCAGCUUCCGGUCGGAGUUUCAAAAGGAGGUGGCCUACGACGUCAUUUAUCACCCUCCUACAAUACAGAACUGAGUUCUCCCCCCAGACAGCUUAACACCCAUCCACACCUGGGCUCACCUGAUCCUGACGACCCACAUGAAGCCCAGUCGGACAAACGACCCACAGGUGACAGCAACGACUCUGAAACUCAGAGCUCACAGUGUCCUUAAUGACUCUGUAAGGACACUCGCACACAGAGUUUAAAAGCCUACAGCUCCCCUCCAGGGAAGAGAUGAUCGCCUCAUAUCCGGUUCUUUCCUUAAACCGAUGUGACUUGACGGAUCCCUCUGCAGCAGCCAAGACACGCAGUCUCUGCAGAGGAGGAGGAUGAAGACCCGCAGACCGGAGGGCAUCUCUGCUUCAGCACCAAUCUGUCCUCGGUCCUGAAUUAAAGAUUGAUUUGUGCAUCUCAUCAUCAAUAUUACCACGGCUGCCAUCAUACCACAGGAAAACUGCUGCAAUACUGUUCAUAUACACGUUAAAAUAAUGAUGAUGUCAUAUCUU